UCGUCCUUUCGACAUCGAGGUGAACCAGACAUCUCAGAGACCCACUUAUUCAGUUCUGUAUACAUGGGGACAUCAGCCCAAGCCCAAGCCAUCUUCCCAUGUAUCACUCUAUGGAGAAUAAAGCACCCUAUAUAAACAGCGCUCCCUCCAUCCCCCCCGCCAAAGCAUCACCUUUGCUUUCAAAAUUUCCGUAUUUUUUCAACCAUGGUCCUGUUUUCAGGUUGUCCUUUGAGAAUAAGCCAUUGAUCAAUAUCAGGUGAAAUAACUCUUCUAGAACAUAACUUGGUGAAAUGGAAGAAUGGAUUCCAGGCAUUUUUGAAGUCCUACAAGAGUGACUCAUCUCAGAAGAUCAACAGCAAAUUGAACAUAAUACGGGAAACCUGGAUGAAUCAUGCAAUGAGGCAGUGAGAGAAAAGCAGACAGGACCAGGCAAUGGUCCCAAAGCCAAGGUCUAAAGAAGAGAACCCCACUGUCUGGAGUGCUGGGAUCAGGUGGAUGGUGGUCCUAAUUAAAGCCUUGUGCCGGAAUGCUCUUCCUGAACUACUCUACUGUGUCAUGAUUGCUGGACAUGUGCAGGACAUAAAUAGACUCCCACUGUAAAA